AGAACGAACGCUGGCGGCAGGCCUAACACAUGCAAGUCGAACGCUCGUAGCAAUACGGGAGUGGCAGACGGGUGAGUAACGCGUGGGAACGUACCCUUUGGUUCGGAACAACUCCGGGAAACUGGAGCUAAUACCGGAUAAGCCCUACGGGGGAAAGAUUUAUCGCCGAAGGAUCGGCCCGCGUCGGAUUAGCUAGUUGGUGGGGUGAUGGCCCACCAAGGCGACGACGGGUAG
rnacentral:rRNA from 1 species